AAGAGGACGCUCCGGGGCGGGGGCGGGAGUGCGUUGGCAGCGGCUGGAAAGGCUGGAAACCGGGUGGGGGACAUUUCCUCAGUUCCCGCCUCUUCCCUGCUAAAAUGAACAGCCCGAGCGUCCUUGUGGGCUUCUCCGGAGGAGGGUGGAUUCUCCUCUGCCCAUUCCCCGCCAGCCCCGCUGCCUAGGGCACAAGGGCUCGUCUAACAAGAGGAGAAGGCAGAGUGAAGGCCCUGACUGACCAGCACAAGGGCUCAUCAUCUGGCUCCAGGUGGAAGGAAUGUGACCCAGACCCCAGGCCGUUCACACAAGCCACUCCUUGGAUUAUGAAACAUGCUCUGGCCUCAGGGACAGGCAGGAGAGGAAAAGGAGCCCACUAGAGUGUGACUAGGAAGGUCUACAGCUCACGACAAGCAGGACCAGGAGCAGAGGGACCUCACCCCUUCCACACGCCCAGGCUGGGCUCCAGCUGUUUACUUACCCUGACGGGGUCCUCUCU